UGUCGGGAACUGACAGAUAAGAUUAUUAUUUUAAUUGAUUAUUAGUGCAUGACGUAGGAAUGAUUAGGUGUCAAAGUGAGGGUGUGAGUGAAAUAGUCACGAAAGAGAGCAGAGAGUUAGUUGAACAAUCGUAGUUGGACUGUGACAGUGAGUGAGAGAGAAAUUGUAUUGUGAAAGAGGGAUAAUAACCCGUGCGCUAUCUAUCUAUAUGUAAUCGUGACCAUUGUGAACCUUUUAAUUUUGUUAUAUAUCUUUGGUAAAUUUUAUGUUUUGUUUGAAUAUACAUUUUUGUUACUUCGAACAUUUGUGACUUGUCGAGGACUACAUUUUGGAGGCGAAUUCUCGACAAGGUCAA